rnacentral:rRNA from 1 species
UACGUAGGGUGCAAGCGUUGUCCGGAAUUAUUGGGCGUAAAGAGCUCGUAGGCGGUCUGUCGCGUCGGCUGUGAAAACCCGGAGCUCAACUCCGGGCCUGCAGUCGAUACGGGCAGACUGGAGUUCGGCAGGGGAGACUGGAAUUCCUGGUGUAGCGGUGAAAUGCGCAGAUAUCAGGAGGAACACCGGUGGCGAAGGCGGGUCUCUGGGCCGUAACUGACGCUGAGGAGCGAAGCGUGGGGAGCGAACAGG